UCCACCCCGGGUCCCGGCCAUGGCGCUGAGUGAACCCAUCCUGCCGUCCUUCUCCACUUUCGCCAGCCCGUGCCGCGAGCGCGGCCUGCAGGAGCGCUGGCCGCGCGCCGAGCCCGAGACCAGCGGCACCGACGACGACCUAAACAGCGUGCUGGACUUCAUCCUGUCCAUGGGGCUGGACGGGCUGGGCGCCGAGGCCGCCCCGGAGCCGCUGCCGCCGCCCCCGCCGCCUGCGUUCUAUUACCCCGAACCCGGCGCGCCCCCGCCCUACAGCGCCCCCGCGGGUGGCCUGGUGUCUGAGCUGCUGCGACCCGAGCUGGACGCGCCGCCGGGGCCCGCACUGCACGGCCGCUUUCUGCUGGCGCCGCCCGGCCGCCUGGUCAAGGCCGAGCCCCCCCGAAGCGGACGGCGGCGGCGGCUACGGCUGCGCCCCCGGGCUGACCUGUGGACCGCGCGGCCUCAAGCGCGAGGGCGCCCCGGGCCCGGUGGCUUCGUGCAUGCGAGGUCCCGGGGGCCGCCCCCCGCCGCCGCCCGACACCCCGCCUCUCAGCCCCGACGGCCCCGCGCGCCUGCCCGCGCCCGGCCCGCGCACCUCCUUCCCGCCGCCUUUCGGUGGCCCUGGCUUCGGCGCACCCGGGCCUGGGCUGCAUUACGCGCCGCCUGCGCCCCCAGCCUUCGGUCUCUUCGACGACGCGGCAGCCGCCGCGGCAGCCCUGGGCCUGGCGCCCCCCGCCGCCCGCGAUCUCCUCACGCCGCCUGCCUCCCCGCUGGAGCUGCUGGAGGCCAAGCCAAAGCGCGGCCGCCGCUCCUGGCCGCGCAAACGCACCGCCACUCACACCUGCAGCUACGCGGGCUGCGGCAAGACCUACACCAAGAGUUCGCAUCUGAAGGCGCAUCUGCGCACGCACACAGGUGAGAAGCCCUACCACUGCAACUGGGACGGCUGUGGCUGGAAGUUUGCGCGCUCAGACGAGCUCACGCGCCACUACCGCAAGCACACGGGCCACCGGCCAUUCCAGUGCCAUCUGUGCGAUCGUGCCUUCUCGCGCUCCGACCACCUGGCGCUGCACAUGAAACGGCACAUGUAGCCGGGACACCCCCGCCCAUCUGCGCGCGGCUGUGGCGGGUCCCACGC